GAUGAACGCUAGCUACAGGCUUAACACAUGCAAGUCGAGGGGCAGCAUGGUCUUAGCUUGCUAAGGCCGAUGGCGACCGGCGCACGGGUGAGUAACACGUAUCCAACCUGCCGUCUACUCUUGGACAGCCUUCUGAAAGGAAGAUUAAUACAAGAUGGCAUCAUGAGUCCGCAUGUUCACAUGAUUAAAGGUAUUCCGGUAGACGAUGGGGAUGCGUUCCAUUAGAUAGUAGGCGGGGUAACGGCCCACCUAGUCUUCGAUGGAUAGGGGUUCUGAGAGGAAGGUCCCCCACAUUGGAACUGAGACACGGUCCAAACUCCUACGGGAGGCAGCAGUGAGGAAUAUUGGUCAAUGGGCGAGAGCCUGAACCAGCCAAGUAGCGUGCAGGAUGACGGCCCUAUGGGUUGUAAACUGCUUUUAUAAGGGAUAAAGUGGAGCCGUGACUCUUUUUGCAUGUACCUUAUGAAUAAGGACCGG
rnacentral:rRNA from 1 species